rnacentral:rRNA from 1 species
AGUAAACGCCGGCGGUAGGCCUAACACAUGCAAGUCGAACGGCAGCACAGUAAGAGCUUGCUCUUACGGGUGGCGAGUGGCGGACGGGUGAGGAAUACAUCGGAAUCUACUUUUUCGUGGGGGAUAACGUAGGGAAACUUACGCUAAUACCGCAUACGACCUACGGGUGAAAGCAGGGGAUCUUCGGACCUUGCGCGAUUGAAUGAGCCGAUGUCGGAUUAGCUAGUUGGCGGGGUAAAGGCCCACCAAGGCGACGAUCCGUAGCUGGUCUGAGAGGAUGAUCAGCCACACUGGAACUGAGACACGGUCCAGACUCCUACGGGAGGCAGCAGUGGGGAAUAUUGGACAAUGGGCGCAAGCCUGAUCCAGCCAUACCGCGUGGGUGAAGAAGGCCUUCGGGUUGUAAAGCCCUUUUGUUGGGAAAGAAAAGCAGCAGGUUAAUACCCCGCUGUUCUGACGGUACCCAAAGAAUAAGCACCGGCUAACUUCGUG